rnacentral:lncRNA from 1 species
GUCGUAAAAGGGGACGCGGAGGAGAAGGAAAGUCGCUCAAGCAGUGGACAGAGCGGAGAAAGCGACUUCGGGUUGGUUGAAGGUUCAGCCUGAGAAAACUCCUGAGCAUGUGCGAAAAAGAAAAGAAGAAAAGAAAAGUAAAGAAAAGAAAAAAGGAAAAAGGGCAAGCUCCUGAGUGGAUCUCUCAGGGAGCCACCAGACAGCCGCAGAGAGAAGAAGCUGCCCAAGAAUGGAAAGGAAGAAAUAUAUCACAUCAUCUGUCUGUCCACAGGCUUUCCUUGGGGCUUAUGAAGUGAAUGAAGGAGGGAAGAAAGGAGAGACAGAGAAAAUAUGGAUUUCCUCAUGGUUGUGAUUCCUCUUCACUCUUUUGAAUUUGGAAGGAUGGCAUACACAUCUGAAAAAUACCACUACUUCCUUCAUUGGACUGCAAGGUAUUUCUGUUUGGAAAAGUAAUGGAGUCCAGUCAACUUCAUUGAUCGCCAAGGACUGUCAAAAUUAUAAAACUUGCUGUGGAGCUCUGACAUGCCAGAAGCCGCUAGAAAAAGAAGUUUGACAUUCAGAAACUUAUCAAGAGGUUCUACUCUUUGGAUAGAGACCAAAAUCAUACUUUGAAAAAGCCUGACAGGUUUCUUCGGAAAAGUGGCCAUCCAUGGAAUGAAUGAAAUGUUCUCUUUCUAUUCCAGGGAUUGCAGUGGCAAAGCUAGGCUAGGUCUUGGAGGCUGGUGUAAGGCGAUGUGGGUGAAGGCAGGAGGCUGAUGGAAAGACUGGGGGGAAGAAAAGCCGAAAUGGAUUCACGGUGCCUUGGAUGAAGGACGAGAGGGGAACUGCAAGCUCCUUCAACUGGUUCUGUCCGGUGAGAAGUGAUCAAGCUUGGGCUGACAAGAGGCUCAGGGAGCCCUCACGUUCUUUCGCUUUUUUACCUGCCAAUCAAACUGCUACAAGACAACACCCUGAUCUGGCAUGGACAUCGCGGGUCCAAGCCUGUAGCCCCAAAUCGGAUAAUCUCUGCAGCUGAUAACAAGCAAAAGAGAAGCCAGGCAACAGCCAUAUUAAAGAAGAAAACAAUCAACUCUGAGGAUGGCUGCCAGGGAAUAGAUGAAAGGCAGAAGUGGCGAUGGGUGACUGAUGUGGCACACUUAUGAAGAAAAGCCUCUUUUUCCAUGCUUGUUUUUCCUCCCCAAGGAGCCAACAGAGUUUCUAUUCUCCAACUCUGCUCUUCACCUUACCCAAGUCAUUGCAGUCACCUGGAGUCACGGAAAUGACCAUGAUUGCCUGAACUUUCAUGACUUCUGUGGAUAACUGUGGUUGCAGAAAAGAGAAAACCUGGACCGUGAGGGACAUUUCACUCCCUGGGCUUUGGUACAUGGUACAUGUGUGGUUGGAUGUGUGUUGCCAGAAAACAGCCUGCCAUGUCUGAGGCUAUGCUCCCAGACUAGCAGCCUGGGUUACAGGGGAAGAGCUGAAGUUGGGUUGGGGAAGUUUAAUAUACUAUACUUUUAAAAUUUUUUUACUUUUGGCUAAUAUUUAUCUAUUUAUUUAUUUUUAUUUUUUGUAGAGACAGGGUUUUGCCAUGUUGCCCUGGCUGGUCUCAAACUACUGAGCUUGAGAAUCUGCUUGUCUUGGCCUCCCAAAGAGCUAGGAUUACAGGCAUGAGCCAUCGAGCCUGGCUCCUUUUAUUCUUUUCAUGACACUACCUCUUCCUAGGAGAGG